AUCAGUUUAUUUCUUAAUUAAGAACUCCUUUUUAUACGACCGCAAAAAAAUUUUGUGGUCGUAUAUUGGUAUGACGUCGGCGUCGUCAUCCGAAGACACAUUAGUUUUCGCACUCUAACUUUAGUUUAAGUGAAUGGAUCUCAAUGAAAUUUUAAAAUAAGGUUCAAUACCACAAAAGGAAAGUGGGGAUUGAUUUUGGGGGUUAUGGUACCACCAGUUAAGGAAUUAGGGGCCAAAAAUAAGCAUUUUUGUAACUUCCAGACAUAACUUGUGUGUAAGUGUAUGGAUCUCACAAGGUUCCAUAUCACAAAGGGAAUGCUGGGAUUGAUUUUUGGGGGUAAUUGCCUCCAAAUUUUAGGAAUUAGGGGCCAAAAAGGGGCAAAAAACAAGCAUUUUUCUAGUUUCAUGACAAUAACUUGUGUGCAAGUCUAUGGAUCUCUCUGACAUUGUAUCACAAGGUUCCAUAUCACAAAGGGAAAGCUGGAAUAGAGUUUGGGGGUAAUUGCCCAAAAAGUUUAGGAAUAAGGGGCCAAAAAUAAGCAUUUUUCUAGUUUCCAGACAAUAACUUGUGUUCAAGUGUAUGGAUCUCUCUGAAAUUGUACUGCAAGGUACCAUACCACAAAGGGAAUGCUGGGAUUGAUUUUGGGGGUAAUUGCCUCCAAAUUUUAGGAAUUGGGGGCCAAAAAGGGGCAAAAAACAAGCAUUUUUCUAGUUUCAUGACAAUAACUUGUGUGUAAGUCUCUGGAUCUCUCUGACAUUGUAUCACAUGGUUCCAUAUCACAAAGGGAAUGCUGGGAUUGAUUUUGGGGGUAAUUGCCUCCAAAUUUUAGGAAUUAGGGGCCAAAAAGGGGCAAAAAAACAAGCAUUUUUCUAGUUUCAUGGCAAUAACUUGUGUGUAAGUGUAUGGAUCUUUAUGAAAUUGUACUACAAGGUUCCAUAUCACAAAGGGAAAGCUGGAAUAGAGUUUGGGGGUAAUUGCCCAAAAAGUUUAGGAAUAAGGGGCCAAAAAUAAGCAUUUUUCUAGUUUCCAGACAAUAACUUGUGUUCAAGUGUAUGGAUCUCUCUGAAAUUGUACUGCAAGGUACCAUACCACAAAGGGAAUGCUGGGAUUGAUUUUGGGGGUAAUUGCCUCCAAAUUUUAGGAAUUGGGGGCCAAAAAGGGGCAAAAAACAAGCAUUUUUCUAGUUUCAUGACAAUAACUUGUGUGUAAGUCUAUGGAUCUCUCUGACAUUGUAUCACAUGGUUCCAUAUCACAAAGGGAAUGCUGGGAUUGAUUUUGGGGGUAAUUGCCUCCAAAUUUUAGGAAUUAGGGGCCAAAAAGUGGCAAAAAACAAGCAUUUUUCUAGUUUCAUGGCAAUAACUUGUGUGUAAGUGUAUGGAUCUUUAUGAAAUUGUACUACAAGGUUCCAUAUCACAAAGGGAAAGCUGGGUUUGAGUUUGGGGGUAAUUGCCCUAAACGUUUAGGAAUUUGGGACCAAAAAGGGGCCAAAAAACAAGCAUUUUUCUAGUUUCCAGGCAAUAACAUGUGUUCAAGUGUAUGGAUCUCUCUGAAAUUGUACUGCAAGGUACCAUACCACAAAGGGAAGGCUGGGAUUGAGUUUUGGGGUGAUGAAUCAUAAGGGGGUUCAAAAAAUUUUGG